rnacentral:rRNA from 1 species
AACGAACGCUGGCGGCGCGCUUAACACAUGCAAGUCGAACGAGAAGGCGUAGCAAUACGCUUGUACAGUGGCGAACGGGUGAGUAAUACGUGGGCGACCUACCCUCGAGUGGGGAAUAACCCGCCGAAAGGCGGGCUAAUGCCGCGUACGCUUCCAUCUUUAUGGAGGUGGAAGGAAAGCCGUGCCGUGGGCACGGCGCUCAAGGAUGGGCUCACGUCCUAUCAGCUUGUUGGUAGGGAACGGCCUACCAAGGCUCCGACGGGUAGCUGGUCUGAGAGGACGAUCAGCCACACUGGCACUGCGACACGGGCCAGACUCCUACGGGAGGCAGCAGUGAGGAAUAUUGCGCAAUGGGCGAAAGCCUGACGCAGCGACGCCGC